GCCCACUCCACUAGCCUCUGAGAGGGACAAUCUCUGUGAUGUGGUGUACAUUCCAGAGAGCUGUGUGGGAUCAGGCUAAAUCUAGAGCUUUCCCUAAAGAAUUAUCGUACAAAACUCAGUCUCAGGCUCUGCUUCUAGUUUGUACAUAACAAAAUACCUUUUCUUGAUAAAGAAGAGAGGUUUAUUUAGUUUUGGAGGCUGAGGGUCCAACAUUGGGCAACCCCAUUAAUCCAGCCUCUGGUGAGGACCUCAUGUGGAUGGCAUCACAGUGGUGGGUGCGGUGUGAAAGGGAGAAGGCCCCGUGGAGAUGAGCGUCAGAGAAUGUGCAGGGACCAGGCUUGCUCUUGUUCAUUCCUUCCAGGUGCCCAUCCCCAAUGACCUACCACCUUCCCUUAGGCCCUGCCUCUUAAAGGUUGUGCCAUCUCCACUCUGCCACACUGGGGAUCGAGCUUUUGAUCGGUACAUGAGCUUUUGGAGGAUACAUUCAAACCAUAUAGCUUGCCUACUAUAUGAAAACACAUCAGGCAAGUCUUUGUGGCUACAAGGAGUCUUCCCAGGAAACAUGCACAUGCAAUUUGUAUACAAUUUUGCCCAAGUCACUGGAUUUAGCAGCCACAACAUCUCCUGGGCCUCCACCCAAGGGCUGGUAACCCACAUGCUGACUUCCUAAUGAACAAUCCAUUUCUCCAUAAAGAGAAGAGGAUUGGGAGAUUUCCCUCUCAGACAGAAUUUUCUUUCUUUAAUUAAGAAGAGCUGUCUACAUCUUUUCAAAGCUGCUUUCCUGGGAAAUUAGAGAAUCCAUGUGCAAUGGGUUGAAGUAUGUCCCUCCCAAAUCUGUAUGUUGAAGUCCUAACCCCUAUUAUAACUGUUUGGAGAUAGAAUUUUUAGGAGGCAGUUUUAAGUGGGAUCCUAAGGGGUAGGACCCCAAUACAAAAGGAUUGGUGGACUCAUAAGAAGAGGAGGAGGCAGAGACAUAGGAAGGCCUUUCUUCCUCUACUUUCUGCCAUGUGAGGCCACAGCCAGAAGGCAGCCAUCUGCAAGACAGCCUUCACCACCACCCCAAUUGACUGUCACCUGGAUCUUGGACUUCUCAGCCUCCAGGACUGUGAAAAAUAAGUUUCUGUUGUGUAAACCACCCAGUCUUUGGUAUUUUGCUUUGGCAGGCUGAGCAGAUUAAGAUACCACCCAAAAUACAAAAGUCGGUUUUGAAAAUUCUAGUUAGGUUUUCAGAUCAUUUUUUUUUUGAUCCUGUCAGGAUCCAGUUCCUGUAGUGCUACCACCUGGCCACUAGGAAGCCUGGGUGUUAGAACCAAGGGUGAACCUGGACCCACAUUCCUUCUCCUUUCAAACCUAGCCAUGAGGGCUGGGGAUGUGGCUCAAGUGGUAGCGCGCUCGCCUGGCAUGCGUGCGGCCCAGGUUCGAUCCUCAGCACCACAUACCAACAAAGAUGUUGUGUCCGCCGAAAAUUA
rnacentral:lncRNA from 1 species